rnacentral:tRNA from 1 species
GGGCCCGUAGCUCAGCGGUAGAGCGCCCGCCUUGCAAGCGGGAGGUCCCGGGUUCGAAUCCCGGCGGGUCCC